rnacentral:rRNA from 1 species
UACGGGAGGCAGCAGUGGGGAAUAUUGCACAAUGGGCGCAAGCCUGAUGCAGCCAUGCCGCGUGUAUGAAGAAGGCCUUCGGGUUGUAAAGUACUUUCAGUCGUGAGGAAGGUGUUAAGGUUAAUAACCUUAGCAAUUGACGUUAGCGACAGAAGAAGCACCGGCUAACUCCGUGCCAGCAGCCGCGGUAAUACGGAGGGUGCGAGCGUUAAUCGGAAUUACUGGGCGUAAAGGGCACGCAGGCGGUUAAUUAAGUUGGAUGUGAAAUCCCCGGGCUUAACCUGGGAAUGGCAUUCAAGACUGGUUAGCUAGAGUCUUGUAGAGGGGGUAGAAUUCCAUGUGUAGCGGUGAAAUGCGUAGAGAUGUGGAGGAAUACCGGUGGCGAAGGCGGCCCCGUGGACAAAGGACUGACGCUCAUGUGCGAAAGCGUGGGGAGCGAAACGAGGGAU